rnacentral:rRNA from 1 species
AAGGCCUUCGGUUGUAAAGCUCUGUCGGACGGGACGAAAGCCAACAGUUAAGAGCUGGUUGGCCUGACGGUACCGUUAAAGGAAGCACCGGCUAACUUCGUGC